UUGGAGUUAAGCCCCAAAUAUAAAGUUCUACCUUUUUUUAGAA
rnacentral:tRNA from 1 species